GGCAGACGACUAAAUCUCCCUUUUCAAGUUGCCGUUUGAUUUUUUGAGCAUCGACGUCUCGGAUUCUAGUUAAUCGGAUGGUGGGAAUAGGUGACAGAAUUUCGGAUAAUCUGGAAAUGGAAUAUGUCACGGCGGGGAUUCUACGGUAGAGGACGGCGGAGAGGACAACCGGGUCCAUUAAAGUUCUGUGGGUGCAAACGAAGAGGACGCCGGAGUUUCCGGGGGCAGCAUGCGAAGGAGGGGUGCCUUUAACAACGACCUUGCCUCCGAAUACGGGGGCCAUUCGGGGUAUAGCCCACAUCGGAAGCAUAAGGCCUACCCCGAUGCGGAUUGUUGCUAUUACAAUUCCGAGAGGGAUCCAUAAGAGGAUUAGGAGGGCGGCGGAUGGCGUAGGACGCUUAGUUAACCUGCCGUCAUGAAAAAUCACCGGCAGGGGGCGGAUGAUGCGGUGAAGGUCUUGCUUUUUUGAGGCGGUGAAUGGUGGAUGUUGUUCUUCCUGUUGAUAAAGAAAUAACAUUUCAGUUAACAUGCUCGUGUUUGGUUCAACUACAAAAGUGGAUUAAAUUUUUAGUUCAAAUUAAUAAUUAACUUUAAUCACAAAUUUUAUGAGAUUCACAACUUUUUAAUCUCACACCCUAUCUCAAAAUAUACUAAAAAUUAACUUUUAUUUGAAUAUAUAAGAGUAGCGAUCUCCAUAGUUAACAACUACAGUAGUUAUCUUAUAUAACAGCUUGUUAUUUGUUGAAUAAUACUAUUCAUAGUGAACGACUACAGUAAUCAUCCUUUAUGGAAACUUAUUAUUUGAAAAAAUAACAAACUGUCACAUAAAAUAAUUACUGUAAUCGCUAACUAUGAAUAACAUUAUUCAACAAGGACAAAAUAAGUAGUUGGAAAGGAUACUAUAAAUAAUUGUGUCUUGUUUCCUACAUGCAAAAAAUAAACAUUUGCAACAAGUGCGCGACUACAUAAAAUGUAAUUAUAAGUAAUUUUAGCUAAGUAAACUUACCUUACACAUGGAUAAGAAUAAUGGACCGGAACCAGAUUGAGGCCUUCCUAGUCCUAGACGAGGUUGUUCAUCACCAAAUAAUGCACCAAUACUCCUAGUGAUUGAAUCAAAAUCAUCUUGAAUAAAACCAGUUGCCAAUCCAAAUCUGUUCUCAGAGAGUUCGCUCCCGAUAACAUCGUCUGCACGUAAAUGCUCCUUCACGAACCUCUCGAUCAUGAUCCUUGGCAUUUUGGUCACGACAAUUCUCUUAUUGUACAAGCUGAAUAUCCUCCAAGCCUCCAUAUCGAUAUCAUCGAAAUAAAACUUAGGCAAAACCGCUCUAGACACUGCUUCAAUUUCCGACAUAGGGACCCCGGCCGUGGCAACAAAAAUUGUCAACCUAAGUCCAGCAUCUACUUUCCCAAAAACUUCGAGCAACCUAAUCACAGGCCAUAACAUCAACAAAAGCGCAAAUCGGACCAAACCCGAUGCCUCGAAUGCUAUCAACAUGAAGUAGGAAAAGGCAUUAGAAUCAUUCAAAAGAGUCCCUUCAAGAUCAGCAACAACAGACUCCAUAACUAGGAUUGUAAUCUCUUUAUAUUUGUCUUAAUUAUAAAUAUUAAUUUUCACGAAACCUGAAAUGUAUCAAAAUUUUCUGUCCUUAUGAUUUUUUUGGACAAGUUUUUGCAAAGGAUAUAAGAAUUGUAAGAUGAAGGUAGAUUGACUGUUCUCUAAUGAAAGAAUUAGUCUGUUUAUCUGUUCACAACAAACCCUUAUGCAUAUUGGUAUAUUUAUAUUAAAAUCUCAGCCCCUUUUCGGUUUUCCUUAGGUGGAUAUAUCUAUAAAGAAAACCAAAGGAUUAUACGCCACCUUGAACCUGAAAAAAUAGAUUACUUAACCUGAACAACUUAGUCAAAAAAAUAAAUAUAAUCAAGAAUCCACAUGUCCAACAAAAUAUAUGUCUACCUUGUCAAAUUUAGGUUACUUACUAUGAACCUUAGCCGAAAUUAUGUGUAAUAAAACUGUAGAUAUAUAAUCUUUAUGAAGUAGUGAUUGAAGGGAUUCCACGUUUGAAUAUAGGGUUUUUUAAAUAUUUUCUAAAAAAUCCAACUUAAUUUGGGUUAAAAAACCCAACAAAAACUACAUUUGAAAAAAAAAAUUAAUUUUAAGCCCAACCAAACAAAAUAUUCACCAUUUUACGUUCUUUUAAUGUUAGAAGAUAUUGCUUACUUUGUCUUGGUGGACAUUUCAUAAAGAAUUAAUCUACUUGUUCAAUGUUGGUUGACAAGAUUUGUUGACAAUGUUUGAUAUGACAAAAUUUGAACAACUGAUUUACAAAACAAUUUUUGAACUUUUUUGAAAAUGGAUGAAUAACAAAUCAUGAUUGUCAACAAACAUUGUCAAUCAUCAUUAUACUUGUAGCAUGUCUUUCAUAAAUAUAUAUUAUUCAACACUUCAAUGGAAAAAAUGCAAGAAACAACUAAAAAGAAGAAGGGGAAAAAAAUACAGGCUCCCCUUAUUAUAAAAAAAUUAUGAUAAAAAUUACAAGAAUACGAAAAAUAAAGAAAGAAAGACAGACUCUCUCUGUUUUCUUUUAUUUAUUAUAUUUUUUAAUGAAGCUUAAAAUCGCCCAUAAUUUUCUUGAAUAUGCUCAUCAAUUCCUUCGCCGGAGUCCCUUUGGAAGCUUCUGAUACAAUUCCAUCGUUUCCGGCUAGAACCCUGUACUUGUCCUUCCUGGUAAAGUUUGUGCACUCAAACCCUAAUGUUGUAGCCAAGAUUCUUUGAACAUAAUUUGCAACAUCAUAUGGACUUUUACCAGAUGAACAUGUUGCUUCAACUGGUAAUUGGUUUAAAAAUGUUACCUCGUAGAUUGGUCUAGGGUUCAUGAAGAAAAAUAUAGGGUCCAUAGCCUUCCACCCUCUGGCUGUGGUUGCAUGGAACAACCCUACUCUGUAAUUCAUGGCGACAGGCACAAUCCGGUCGGUUAAUUCAGCAAAAAGUCCACUGAAUCUCAGCAAAAAGGGUUCUCUGCAAGUUGUGCCUUCUGGGCAGACGACUAAAUCUCCCUUUUCAAGUUGCCGUUUGAUUUUUUGAGCAUCGACGUCUCGGAUUCUAGUUAAUCGGAUGGUGGGAAUAGGUGACAGAAUUUCGGAUAAUCUGGAAAUGGAAUAUGUCACGGCGGGGAUUCUACGGUAGAGGACGGCGGAGAGGACAACCGGGUCCAUUAAAGUUCUGUGGGUGCAAACGAAGAGGACGCCGGAGUUUCCGGGGGCAGCAUG
rnacentral:lncRNA from 1 species